AUUGAACGCUGGCGGCAGGCUUAACACAUGCAAGUCGAACGAGCGGCGGACGGGUGAGUAAUGCUUGGGAAUCUGCCCUAUGGAGGGGGAUAACGACGGGAAACUGUCGCUAAUACCGCGUACUAUCGGAUGAACCCAAGUGGGAUUAGGUAGUGGGUGGGGUAAUGGCCUACCAAGGCGACGAUCUCUAGCUGGGCUGAGAGGAUGACCAGCCACACCGGGACUGAUGAACGGCCCGGACUCCAACGGGAGGCAGCAGGGGGGAAUAUUGCACAAUGGGGGCAACCCUGACGCAGCCAUGCCGCGUGAAUGAAGAAGGCCUUCGGGUGGUAAAGUUCUUUCGGUAGUGAGGCGUUAAAUGCAGAAGAAGCACCGGCUAACUCCGUGCCAGCAGCCGCGGUAAUAC
rnacentral:rRNA from 1 species